rnacentral:rRNA from 1 species
CCUACGGGGUGCAGCAGUGGGGAAUAUUGCACAAUGGGCGCAAGCCUGAUGCAGCCAUGCCGCGUGUAUGAAGAAGGCCUUCGGGUUGUAAAGUACUUUCAGCGAGGAGGAAGGCAUUAAGGUUAAUAACCUUGGUGAUUGACGUUACUCGCAGAAGAAGCACCGGCUAACUCCGUGCCAGCAGCCGCGGUAAUACGGAGGGUGCAAGCGUUAAUCGGAAUUACUGGGCGUAAAGCGCACGCAGGCGGUCUGUCAAGUCGAAUGUGAAAUCCCCGGGCUCAACCUGGGGACUGCAUUAGAAACUGGCAGGCUAGAGUCUUGUAGAGGGAGGUAGAAUUCCAGGUGUAGCGGUGAAAUGCGUAGAGAUCUGGAGGAAUACUGGUGGCGAAGGCGGCCCCCUGGACAAAGACUGACGCUCAGGUGCGAAAGCGUGGGGAGCAAACAGGAUUAGAUACCCUCGUAGUC